AUGCUGGAAGAAGGACAAUGGAAAAGUGCCUUCAAGAUUCUGAAGAAUAAUGAUUUCUAACCUGGCAUGGGAUACCUAGCUAAGCUAUCAACUCAAGGUGUGAUCCAGGAUGGCUCGGAAGCACUCCCAGUCCUCGACUGGGGCCAGAAGAGCAGCGUGCAGAGACGCAAGAAGGCAGGCAGGGGACAGGGACAGGAAGAAAAGGAGGGA
rnacentral:lncRNA from 1 species